ACCCGCGUCUGAUUAGCUAGUUGGUGAGGUAACGGCUCACCAAGGCGACGAUCAGUAGCCGACCUGAGAGGGUGAUCGGCCACAUUGGAACUGAGACACGGUCCAAACUCCUACGGGAGGCAGCAGUGGGGAAUAUUGCACAAUGGGCGAAAGCCUGAUGCAGCAACGCCGCGUGAGCGAUGAAGGCCUUCGGGUCGUAAAGCUCUGUCCUCAAGGAAGAUAAUGACGGUACUUGAGGAGGAAGCCCCGGCUAACUACGUGCCAGCAGCCGCGGUAAUACGUAGGGGGCUAGCGUUAUCCGGAUUUACUGGGCGUAAAGGGUGCGUAGGCGGUCUUUUAAGUCAGAAGUGAAAGGCUACGGCUCAACCGUAGUAAGCUUUUGAAACUGGAGGACUUGAGUGCAGGAGAGGAGAGUGGAAUUCCUAGUGUAGCGGUGAAAUGCGUAGAUAUUAGGAGGAACACCAGUAGCGAAGGCGGCUCUCUGGACUGUAACUGACGCUGAGGCACGAAAGCGUGGGGAGCAAACAGGAUUAGAUACCCUGGUAGUCCACGCCGUAAACGAUGAGUACUAGCUGUCGGAGGUUACCCCCUUCGGUGGCGCAGCUAACGCAUUAAGUACUCCGCCUGGGGAGUACGCUCGGAAGUGUGAAACUCAAUGGAAUUGACGGGGACCCGCACAAGUAGCGGAGCAUGUGGUUUAAUUCGAAGCAACGCGAAGAACCUUACCUAAGCUUGACAUCCUUUUGACCGAUGCCUAAUCGCAUCUUUCCCUUCGGGGACAGAAGUGACAGGUGGUGCAUGGUUGUCGUCAGCUCGUGUCGUGAGAUGUUGGGUUAAGUCCCGCAACGAGCGCAA
rnacentral:rRNA from 1 species